UCGCCGAAAGGGUAAAGCACGGGUAACCGUGUGGCACAAAGCCACCACCCAGCACAAGCUGGGCAGAGGAGCUGCCGAA
rfam:Pelobacter propionicus DSM 2379, complete genome.